rnacentral:rRNA from 1 species
CGGGUGAGUAACACGUAUCCAACCUGCCGUCUACUCUUGGCCAGCCUUCUGAAAGGAAGAUUAAUCCAGGAUGGCAUCAUGAGUUCACAUGUCCGCAUGAUUAAAGGUAUUUUCCGGUAGACGAUGGGGAUGCGUUCCAUUAGAUAGUAGGCGGGGUAGCGGCCCACCUAGUCUUCGAUGGAUAGGGGUUCUGAGAGGAAGGUCCCCCACAUUGGAACUGAGACACGGUCCAA